UUGAACUUUAAAAUGCAAGUUCACAGUUCUUUGAGAGACAAACACAGAAGGCUAAAGUAAUUCUCCAUAAAACCCAGAGAAGAGAUCGUAAAACUCCUCCAUAGGUUCCUGUCUGUAGUCACAGCU
ensembl:snoRNA